GAUGAACGCUGGCGGCGUGCCUAAUACAUGCAAGUCGAGCGAACAGAUGAGUAGCUUGCUCCUCUGACGUUAGCGGCGGACGGGUGAGUAACACGUGGAUAACCUACCUAUCAGACUGGGAUAACUUCUGGAAACCGGAGCUAAUACCGGAUAAUAUAUUGAACCGCAUGGUUCAAUAGUGUAAGACGGUUUUGCUGUCACUUAUAGAUGGAUCCGCGCCGCAUUAGCUAGUUGGUAAGGUAACGGCUUACCAAGGCAACGAUGCGUAGCCGACCUGAGAGGGUGAUCGGCCACACUGGGACUGAGACACGGUCCAGACUCCGACGGGGAGCAGCAGUAGGGAAUCUUCCGCAAUGGGCGAAAGCCUGACGGAGCAACGCCGCGUGGGUGAUGAAGGUCUUCGGGUCGUAAGACUCUGUGAUUAGGGAAGGACAAAUGUGUAAGUAACUGUGCACGUCUUGACGGUACCUAAUCAGAAAGCAACGGCUAACUACGUG
rnacentral:rRNA from 1 species